rnacentral:antisense_RNA from 1 species
UGGUGGAGACAGCGGUCUCGCUAUAGUCCCCAGGCUGGUUUCCCAACUCCUGGCCACAAGGGAUCAAGGGAUCCUCCUGGCCAAAGCACUGCCUAUGCAGGUGUGAGCCACCGCCGCCGGCCCAGACUUAUUUUCUAACUGGGCUAGGGGAAAGAAUAGGGUCUGUGUGGAGCUACAGGUGCCUUCAGCCUUUUUUUUUUUUUUUUUUUUUUUUUUUUUUGAGACGGAGUCUGGUUCUGUCGCCCAGGCUGGAGUGCAGUGGAGCGAUCUCGGCUCACUGCAAGCUCCGCCUCCCGGGUUUACGCCAUUCUCCUGCCUCAGCCUCCUGAGCAGCUGGGACUACAGGCGCGUGCCACCACGCCCAGCUAAUUUUUUUGUAUUUUUAGUAGAGAUGGGGUUUCACCACGUUAGCCAGGAUGGUCUCGAUCUCCUGACCUCGUGAUCCGCUCGCCUCAGCCUCCCAAAGUGGGAGGAUCACCUGAGCCUAGGA